CGGAUCCGGCCUGCCCUGGCCCAGCUCAACACCUGAUUUCGGCAAGGUGACCGUUCUGGAUGCUAGAGUGAGUGUGCCCACCUGCAUAAGGGGGCAGAGACAGGUGAGGGGCUUUGGGGCCUGUGCAUGCUGGGGGUGGGAGAGGCACCCCUGGGCUCCACUGUGGAGGAUAAGGAAGCAAGCACUCAGAUGGCUCGAUGGUGAGCUGCUGAGGACACCUCUCUCCUAUAGUCCAAAAGCUCCAAGCCUUUUUAUUUUUGUUUUGAAAUGGUCUUGCUUUGUUGCCCAGGCUUGAGCACAGUGGCGAUCAUAGCUCACUGCAGCCUCGAACUCUAGGGCUCAAGGGAUCCUCCCACUUCUUUUUUUUUCUUUUGGUAGAUGCGGUCUCAGUAUGUUGCCCAGGCUGGGUUUGAACUCCUAGCCGUAAGCCGUCCUCCCACCUUGGCCUCCCAAAGUGCUGAGGUCACAAUGCAUAAGCCACCACGCCCAACCCCAUUUUUCUUUGUGGGGGCUUCAGUGGCACAAGGGGUAGUCAGUGAUGGACCGAGGUUCCACCCUUUUAUAAUAGGAAGGGUUGCCCAUCUACUGGAAACCUCCACAAUAUUUGUAUGAAAGAAAAACAACAUUUUUCUCUAGCAGAGAAAUUGGAACUCAAUUGGAAGAUGAAGACUAGUCAGUUCAAGCUAGCAACAAUGGCAAUGGUUUGGUGGGGUGGGAGGAUCCCAUGGUGUGACGCAGGUCUGAGCCCUGGCCGUGCUGGAUGUGGUCAUGAGCUUCGUCUAGUCAUCAGUCUGUCUCCUACAUGCCCGGGAUCCCACCAGGAGGCAUGUGAGUUUGGAUGGGGAGGCAAAUGCAGUGUUCCUGCCCUCAUGGAGUUGACUGUCUGGUGGGGGAGGCUGGUGUACAAUCUUGCAGGAGCAUCGCCUGGGAGCCCUGAAGGAUGAAUAGGGAGGAGCUGGCCAAGUCGAAAGGAGCGGGUGGUGUCAAGAGACCCCAGCAGAAGGACCAUCGUGCACAAAGAGCCUGAUCUGACGGGGCCUAGCUCCUGCCAGGGCAGUGGGUGCCUAGUGAGGCUGGAGCUAGAAAGCAGAGCCCCGGAGGGGUGCAGGGCACUUCCCACUUUGUCCAGGAGGAGCCUGAGGCCCAGGGAUCGGGACCUUGCCCUGGGAUAACCCAGCAAGUGAGCAUUGGAGCCAGAGCUAGAGCUAAGGGCGCCAGGCCCCAGGCUCAACUGUAUUCUCCACAUGUACUGAGUCGUGUUCUCAGGGUGCUCUUCCCUAGGUGGUCACAUUUGACUCUCACAAUGACCCUGUAAGGGAGGAAGAAUUCUUCUGCCCAUUUCUCAGAACUAGGAAACUGAGGAUCAUCUGGUUGACCGAGUGAAUGAAUGAGCUCGGUUUUCAUAUGUUCACCCAGUUCAUACUAGGCAGAGCCAGGCAGAGGCUUUUGGCCACAAAGCCAGGGUUUUAUCCAUUGUCUCCACUACCUAAAGCAUGUGCCUGCUCCAGGCAGGGGAUCAC
rnacentral:lncRNA from 1 species